GAUGAACGCUAGCGGCAGGCCUAAUACAUGCAAGUCGAACGAGCUUGGGUCCUUCGGGAUUCAGGUUAGUGGCGCACGGGUGCGUAACGCGUAUGCAACCUACCUUCCACAGGGGGAUAGCCCGGGGAAACCCGGAUUAAUACCGCAUAACACCUUUUCCUGGCAUCAGGAGAUGGUCAAAGCUUUGGCGGUGGAAGAUGGGCAUGCGUGCCAUUAGCUAGUUGGUAGGGUAACGGCCUACCAAGGCUUCGAUGGCUAGGGGUUCUGAGAGGAUGGUCCCCCACACUGGUACUGAGACACGGACCAGACUCCUACGGGAGGCAGCAGUAGGGAAUAUUGGGCAAUGGCCGAGAGGCUGACCCAGCCAUGCCGCGUGCAGGAAGAAGGCCUUCUGGGUUGUAAACUGCUUUUAUCUGGGAAGAAAACGCUCCUGCGGGGGUAACUGACGGUACCAGAUGAAUAAGCACCGGCUAACUCCGUGCCAGCAGCCGCGGUAAUACGGAGGGUGCAAGCGUUGUCCGGAUUUAUUGGGUUUAAAGGGUGCGUAGGCGGCCCGUUAAGUCAGCGGUGAAAUCCCACGGCUCAACCGUGGAACUGCCGUUGAUACUGGCGGGCUUGAGUUCGGUCGAGGCGGGCGGAACUGGUGGUGUAGCGGUGAAAUGCAUAGAUACCACCAAGAACCCCGAUUGCGUAGGCAGCUCGCUGGGCCGAAACUGACGCUGAGGCACGAAAGCGUGGGGAGCGAACAGGAUUAGAUACCCUGGUAGUCCACGCCGUAAACGAUGAGUGCUAAGUGUUAGAGGGUUUCCGCCCUUUAGUGCUGCAGCAAACGCAUU
rnacentral:rRNA from 1 species